GCGGAAGGAUCAUUGUCGAACCUAUAAAAUAGACCGCGAACCCGUUUAUAACCUUCUCCCGCAGUUCGGGGCGCGAGCGCCGUCCCGCGGGCUAACGAACCCCGGCGCGGAAUGCGCCAAGGAAAACUUAACAAAAGCGUCGCCCCCAUCAGGCCCCGUUCGCGGUGUGCUUGCGGGGGAGCGACGUCUCUUGAAUGUCAUAACGACUCUCGGCAACGGAUAUCUCGGCUCUCGCAUCGAUGAAGAACGUAGCGAAAUGCGAUACUUGGUGUGAAUUGCAGAAUCCCGUGAACCAUCGAGUCUUUGAACGCAAGUUGCGCCCGAAGCCAUUAGGCCGAGGGCACGUCUGCCUGGGCGUCACGCAUCGCGUCACCCCCUCACACUCUCCGGAGUGAUCGCGUGGGGGUGGUACUGGCCUCCCGUACGCUUUCCUGUGCGGCUGGCCCAAAUGCGAUCCCGCAGCGGCGCAUGCCGCAACCAGUGGUGGAAGAAUUCUCGUUCUUGCGUGCUGUUGUGGCUGCAAUGCGCCGUUUGCUCGGGCAUCACAAUCGACCCAACUGCGCGGUGGAAACAACUACUGCGCUAUCGACCGCGACCCCAGGUCA
rnacentral:misc_RNA from 1 species